GGCAGCAGUGGGGAAUAUUGGACAAUGGGGGCAACCCUGAUCCAGCAAUGCCGCGUGUGUGAAGAAGGCCUGCGGGUUGUAAAGCACUUUCAGUAGAGAAGAAAAGCUUAGGGUUAAUAACCCUGAGUCUUGACGUAACCUACAGAAGAAGCACCGGCUAACUCCGUGCCAGCAGCCGCGGUAAUACGGAGGGUGCGAGCGUUAAUCGGAAUUACUGGGCGUAAAGCGCGCGUAGGCGGUUGUGUAAGUCGGAUGUGAAAGCCCAGGGCUUAACCUUGGAAUUGCAUUCGAAACUGCACGGCUAGAGUAUGGGAGAGGAAAGCGGAAUUUCCGGUGUAGCGGUGAAAUGCGUAGAGAUCUGGAGGAAUACCGGUGGCGAAGGCGGCCCCCUGGACAAAGACUGACGCUCAGGUGCGAAAGCGUGGGGAGCAAACAGGAUUAGAUACCCUGGUAGUCCACGCCGUAAACGAUGUCGACUUGGAGGUUGUGCCCUUGAGGCGUGGCUUCCGGAGCUAACGCGUUAAGUCGACCGCCUGGGGAGUACGGCCGCAAGGUUAAAACUCAAAUGAAUUGACGG
rnacentral:rRNA from 1 species